rnacentral:rRNA from 1 species
AAUAGAUACCCCGGUAGUCCUAGCCGUAAACGAUACUCGCUAGGUGUCGGCCACGGUGCGACCGUUGUCGGUGCCGUAGGGAAGCCGUGAAGCGAGCCACCUGGGGAAGUACGGCCGCAAGGCUGAAACUUAAAGGAAUUGACGGGGGAGCACCACAACGGGUGGAGCUUGCGGUUUAAUUGGAUUCAACGCCGGAAAUCUUACCGGGACCGACAGCAAUAUGAAGGCCAGGCUGAAGACUUUGCCGGAUUAGCUGAGAGGUGGUGCAUGGCCGUCGUCAGUUCGUACUGUGAAGCAUCCUGUUAAGUCAGGCAACGAGCGAGACCCACGCCCACAGUUGCCAGCGUACUCUCUGGAGUGACGGGUACACUGGUGGGGACCGCCGCUGCUAAAGCGGAGGAAGGAAUGGGGCAACGGUAGGUCAGUAUGCCCCGAAUAUCCCGGGGCUACACGCGAGCUACAAUGGUUGGUACAAUGGGUAUCUACCCCGAAAGGGGACGGGAAUCUCCUAAAACCAAUCUUAGUUCGGAUUGAGGGCUGCAACUCGCCCUCA